GUAAUGUUGUAGAAAAAUUUAUAUUUUACUCUUUCUUAUUUACUUUCUUAAACAUUGGGUGGGUUUUUAUAUAUUUUUAUUUUUCCUUUUGAUUUAACUUGUGUAUUUCUAUGUAUGUCACCUGGAAUGCAACAAAGACAUCACACAGUAAAACAAAGAGCCUUUGAAGUCUUUAGUGUGGGUAAUUUAGUCAGGAAAGACAGAGGGGUUAGCCACAAAUAAAGACCUUUAACCUCACGGGUGUGAAGGCACACAAACACACAGUAUCAGAAAGAGCCUUUGAACACUUUAGUGCAGGAAAGACAGAGGGUUUGUUGACCUCACAGAUGUGAAGAUAAUAAAGCCCAGGGGGUUAGAAGGACCAUUGUUUUUUCUGAAAACAGCUAGGUUUGGUUUACGGGGUUAAGUGGAAAUUUACAGAGAAGGAACCUUGUAAGAAGUGGGGGGUGAUUGCAGUAUAAGAAGGCUGUCUGUUUUCAGUGUGAUUUUAGGUCUGUUGUGUUUCAGGGUAGCUGCUGAAACAUUGUGAACACACCUCUUUAAGGAAAAUAAACUUCUUUCCUUAAAUAUAAUUUGAUUCCUUGUCUCUUACACUGUGAUGCUAUUUGUUAAUAAUUGUUUUUGCCACAACAAUUUGGCGACGAGGACGGGAUCUCACGGCAGUUUCUUCUGGUCCUGAGCGGAUUUGACGAAGUGAUCAUCUCAGAGCACCAGGCUCUGGUCUUACCUCGAAAAUUGAGAGAGAAGAGCCAAAACUGCUUUCAGGGCCAGAGUGACUCGGCUGAGAUCAGAAAGAACCAGGUGGCAGUAAAAGCAUCUCAGGUGAAAGCUGCCCAGAGGAAGGUUGCUGAGAUGUUUCUGCAUAAGAUCAGGCCAGGGGGAUUACGUGGUAAUUCGUGACCUGAGGAGUGACCUGAGGAGGAAGAACUGGAGGGCGAAACGGUGGCGAGGGCCACUCCAAGUUUUUGCUGAUAACACACACAGGGGUGAAGGUCGGAGAAAGAGCUACGUGGGUGUACGCCAGCCACUGCAGAAGAGAUCCGCCCAUAUUGGAAGGGCAACAGGAGGAGGAACCUCAGCAACAACAACAACAAGUUCAACAAUAAGCCCCAAGAUCGAGCCCAAACACCAAGCACAAGAGCAAGGUCACUCAGGAGGAGUGAUAAGGCUGGUGUGCAGAGUAAAGCUAUUUAUGCAGCCACAACCAGAGACACUGAUCAUUACAAAGAGCUCCAAUCACUAGACAAGAUGGAUCGUUUAAGACCGUGGUUUCCAUUCAGACUGCCAGGAAUGUGUGGACUUUGUGAGACUGCAUUCAUUUUGAAUUUGAUAUCAGUGACUAUUUGUUUGAUAAUUUUAUGCUUAUAAUUGAACACAUGAGAUAGGCCGUAAGAGAACCCGAGCGUACUGACAACCUGUGGGCCGGGUGGGUUAUGUCUUUGUGGGGAGGAUGGAUGUACUGGAUAAUUCAAACUGUUUUGCCAAUUUUAGUGAUAGGAAUUCUGAUUCUGUUUUGCUUACCAUGCAUUAUGAGGUGUAUUUCCAACUCAGUACAGAGAUUGGUCAGGGCUGGGAUGUCCAUACAAGCAGCAAAACUGACCGCUUAUCCGAUAGAUAGUGAACACAAAUGUGAUGAUUAUGAGAGUGACGAGAGUGAUGACAUUUACACAGAAAUGUGAAGAAUGAUCAGGUAUACGAAAGUCAGACAUGAGGAGUAUAACUGUUAUGAAAUGACUUGAAACAAUUAUAAUCAUGUAUGAGUUUGCUUAGAAUUAGAAACAAGCGUGUUUUUUUAAGUUAUCAAAACUAAUGUUAAUUAAUCCAAAUCGUUUAUCAGAGAAU